rnacentral:misc_RNA from 1 species
UUUCCGUAGGUGAACCUGCGGAAGGAUCAUUACAGAGUUCAUGCCCGAAAGAGAAGACCUUGCACCCUUGUGUAGUCUUACCUUGUUGCCUUGGCGAGCGCAGGCUAGCCAGAGAAUACCAAAACUCUUUGUACGAAUGUUGUCUAACUACUAUAUAAUAGUUAAAACUUUCAACAACGGAUCUCUUGGUUCUG